CAAGCUAUAGGCUGACAGUUGGAGGACUGGAGCAUAGGUCCAGGUUCGACACCCAGGGGUCAUUACAUCACCCUCUCCUCUAGGACAUGGAUCCGGGUUUCGCAGGGUAGCUCUCGUGGAAGGCCCAAACCAGAGCAGAAGCGUGAACGUGAACAUUUUCAUCUAGCUCCCAAGCAUACCUGUGGGCCGUAAUCUUCCUAGUCAGUCAGAUGUGUCCUUUAGGGGAACCUCCUACACACCAGCGAGUACCUACACCAGAUAAGGAAAAAACGAUGAAGGAACAAGGAGGACAUGUUUAAAGAGGUGCUUCUAUCCUCAGAGGUAGAAAAACAAGAAUGCACGAUGUAGAGAGAGACUUUAAAAGAAAAUUAUAAAACAGACAGACAGGACAGGAGAUCCAGGAGAAAAUUGUAAUGGGCCAGGAGCAGAUUAUAAAAGCGAUGGAGGAGAUGCUGAAGUCCCUAAUCAUGCUGCAGGCAGAAUGCAUGCUCAGUCCCACCUGCAGCCAAUACAGAACUGCCUUCCAUGCCCUCCCCAAACUCCUCCCACACGUUCCUUGCAGCUUCCCAGCCCAUCUUGGUACCGUGUUCACUCCACUCCUUUGGACAGCUUCCAAAAUGAUAGCUGGACUUACAUAUAACUAGAAGAGCCUACAUUACCCUUCCUUGUUAUCUCCAUUCCCACCAAGCCUUUUGUAUGUGCUGUUAAUUGAUAUUUAAUAAAAACACUCUCUGAAA